rnacentral:piRNA from 1 species
UGCCACACAAACACUCUCCUUUGCAAGUA